UAGGGAAUAUUGGGCAAUGGGUGAGAGCCUGACCCAGCCAUGCCGCGUGUCGGAAGACGGCCCUCUGGGUUGUAAACGACUUUUAUACAGGAACAAGAGCUAAGACGGGUUCUUAGUGUGAGGGUACUGUAGGAAUAAGCACCGGCUAACUCCGUGCCAGCAGCCGCGGUAAUACGGAGGGUGCAAGCGUUGUCCGGAUUUAUUGGGUUUAAAGGGUACGUAGGCGGAUGCUUAAGUCCGGGGUGAAAGGCACUUGCUUAACAAGGGCACUGCCUUGGAUACUGGGUAUCUUGAGUGCCGUAGAGGUAGGCGGAAUUCAUGGUGUAGCGGUGAAAUGCAUAGAUACCAUGAGGAACACCGAUAGGGAAGCCAGCUUACUGUAGGGCAACUGACGCUGAGGUACGAAAGCGUGGGGAGCGAACAGGAUUAGAUACCCCCGUAGUCC
rnacentral:rRNA from 1 species